rnacentral:misc_RNA from 1 species
AAUUUUGAAUAUUUAUAAACUACUUUGGGGUGGAAAAAGUUAUAUUUUUUUUACUUUAAACAGCGUAAAUUGACAAUUACAAUUUUCUUAUAAUACUGAGACCAGGUAGCCAAACAAAAUGAUAACAUUGGAGGUGAACAUGUUAAUUAAAUUUAUUUUAAACGGUAUAAAUUUGCAGUUUGAAAUCCAAGAGUUAAGAUUAUCCCAAUGUUGCUUAUAGGCAACAUUGGGAAAUCUGAAAAAUAAUUUUUAGCAAAUUUUUUCAAGGAUUUCUUUAAACGGAAUUUUUAAUAAAAUAGUGUGAACUUUUUCCCUCCUUUUAUGUAAAACACUUAAUCUUGCGUUGAAAAUAUGUACUUUCAUAAAAUACAAAAACAAUUUAUAUGAAAAAUGAAGUGUGGAAAGGGGAAGGGAUUUACAAAAUAAACCUCUUUAAGUUCACACUAUUGUUGACAUUUUCUAAACAUCUUACUGCCAACGUUGUAAGAUCUGACUGUCAACAUUUACACAAACCAAUAAGUAAAAGUAAAUAAUAAAAAAUUCUACAGUAUUUAUUUUACUUUUAUUUACUAACAGUUUAUACAUUACCCAAAUAUUCCUUUUAAUUUAUUUUGCAAAUUUCUUACACCUGAAAAUGUAUAAAAAAAAGAAAAAUUAGUACCCUUUAACAUACUACUCAUUUUUACAACUCUGUGCUUUUAUACAAUCAGAUUGCAACCCUAUAAACGUUGUGCAAAUUUUGUUUAUAAAAAGAAAUAUAUGGGUAAAACAAACAAAGAAACAAAGAAAAAAAAUCACGUAAAGUAGAAUGAAAAAAGGAACAUGAAAAAAGUUUUCCAUUUUCAAAGAAAAUUUAUUUCAAUCAUUGACGUUUUCCAUGAAAAAAAAAGAGUUUGACUGACUGACUAAAUAUGUGUGUGAGUUCGUGUGAAUGAGUGUGUGUGUGUGUGAAAAAGGUGAACUUUGAAAAACUAUUAAAUGAAAAAAAGAAAAAUGAAGAAAAAGAAAAUCGAGUAAAAUAUUAUGCGUAGUAAAAUAAAUUCCUAAUUUUUUUGUUAUAAAUAGAAAAUUAAAUAAAUAAAUGCAACAUUUUGGAAAAUUAAAAAACAUUGAGCAGAAAAAAUUUAUGAAAAGAGACAAAUUUUAAGUGAAAAAAUAAAAAAAUGAUUAUAAACGAGUACAAAACAAAAAAGAAAAACAUUCUCUGAAAAAUAAAGAAGAAAAUUAAAACGAAAUAAUUAGUUUAAAUGAAUGUGAAUGAAUUACAAGAAAAAAAAAAACACGCUACACUUUUUAUAAUUGAAGAAUUUUUGUAACAAGAAUUUUUGCAAAAAAAACCUAAAUGCUAGAAUUAAACAAUUGAACUAAUUUUAAAUUAAAAUUAAAUACAACAAAAACAAUAGCAGCAGUAGCAUCAGCAGCAGCUUUAAAAUAUGGAUGGCUCUAAUAAUACAAGUGGAGGUUUAUCUUCGCGCAGUCUUCCCUCGCUAUUUGCAAUAAGCAAUGGUUCCUCUAUGGCUACUAAAGAUCUAGAAGGCCUAAUGGCCAUGAAUGAUAGUGCAUUGUCACAACAAAUCGAAUUUAUCUUACAAGAUGCUCCCAUGGAGCACGAAGAUGCUGAUGAUGCCGAUGACGACGAAAAUGACAAUCAUCAUCAACAUCAUCAUCAUCGCCAGCCAACACACAAUCAGCAAGUAUUAUAUCAACAACACCAAGUGACCACAAAGUCCUCGUCCGCCAACGAAGUUGGUCAUCAACUAAUGGAAACAGAAACCAGCAGCAGUUCUCAGGGGGCCAUAUCAUCGACUGCAGCUGCUAAGAAAACAAUAGCAGCUGCCAUUUAUAAAUUAGAGACCCCACCGAAUUCAACUACACCAAUAACAAGCGCUUCCGAUUUAAGUCAAACCAGUCAAGACGCCGAACAGUCCAUAAUCGAAACAAAAAUACCAACAGCACAACAUCAACAUCAUACAACUAUUGUUCAACAGCAACAACAACAACAGCGUCGUCCAACGCAUCAUCAUUUCCUCAAUGGUCGUGGUAUCAUUGUACGCUCUUCAGAUUUACACAAUUACAAUUCCCUGCCCUUGUCAGCGGCAGCUUCAAUGGAUCAUCAUUCUUUGGAAACCGAAGACGAUGAAGAAGAUCCCGAACUAAACGAUGAAAACUUACAAGAUAUCGAAGAGGAGGCUAAGGCUGCUGAAGCCGAUGAGGAACCACCCCAUCUAGAAGCCACACAAAUCAAAGUGGAAAAUAUGGAGGUACAAACAAGUGAUAAUACGCCAAGAUUGGCCUAUACUAGUGCUGCCACUACCGUGACUACCACCGAUGCCGAUGGCCAGCCUACACAAUUGGUAUUGCCGGCCGGUUCCAUUGUCAGCACUGGUACACGCACUGUUACAGUGCCAGUUUCUGAAGCUUUAGCCCAUCUUCAAAGACGUCCAGUUUUCAUUAGCAACGGAGUGGCCAAUGUGGGCGGCACCACUUUGGUACGUAUGCCCGCUGUUUUGAGUCGUAAUGGCUCGAUGGCGGUCUUAAAUGUGGUACAACAACAAGUUGGUACCAAUGGCCAGACAACACAGCUGAUACUGCAAGCUGCCCCCAUGGGAAGUGGCGGUAAUGCUACCGGAACUCCCAUAAUGGUAACCACCACCCAGCAGCCACAACAGCAUCAACAGCUUACUAAUACUACAACAGAUAAUACAGGGAACUCGUCACCAAUUUCAAACAUAACUCAAACUUCCAAUACCCAUCAAAUACUGACAAAUGCUUUAACGACCAAUCAACAGGCUCAGCUGCAACAAGCUCAUCAUCAACAGCAGCAACAACAACAACAACAACAAACAACUACAAUAAGGACUCUUAGCAGUGGCUCAACUACGUCCUCCCCUUCGUCGACGUCGUCUUCAGCAGCUACCGCAUCUGCAACAACAAAUGCUGCCAUAUCAACAACAAGAUCACCACCUCCCCGAUCAACAUCCAUUUCUACUCAUCCUAUUGCAUCGACUUCAGCCCAAGCUCAGGCAGCUUAUACCCGCAAUACAGCAUCAACCUCGCCACCCUCCUCUUCUUCGUCCGCCUCACCCUCAUCCACCUCUAUGCCGUCUGGGUCUGGCACAAUGGGUGGUGGUGGUGGCACAAUUUAUCAGUGCUUAGAAUGUGUAGAGAAAUUCGACAACAAAGAACUCUUCGAGAUACAUCGUUCUGGCCAUGCCAACAACAUGAAAUGCGCCAUCUGUAAUAUGGUUUUGAAAUCAUUGAAAAACUAUGAGAAACACUGUCUUCGCUGCAAACCGUACGAAUGUCAAAUUUGCGGUCGUGUCGUACGUUUUCGUCCCAAUUUCAUAAAACAUAUGCGCGUUCACACCGGACAACAGUCCGAACGUCAUAAGUACAAGUGCGAAGUGUGUCACAAAGAAUUCAUGAGUUUCGAAUACUUUAAGGUUCACAAAAAGAUCCACAAUGAAAAUGUUAAUCUGACGUGUGAAAUAUGCGGCAAACAAUUUAGCGCUUUGGCGUCCUUGAGGGGACAUUCUAAACUGCAUUCUGGUGUCAAGUUACACAAAUGUGAAGUUUGCGGUAAAGGCUUUGGUCAACGUUACAAUCUCAAGAUACAUGCUCGCACACAUACUGGCGACUUUCCAUUCGAGUGUAAAAUCUGUAAAAAGAAAUUACAUACCCAAUCAUCGUUGCAAACCCACAUGCAAGUUCAUCAACGUGUUCAAACGUCACAAGCAACGUCGACCAUUAAAUCAACAGCCACCAGUACCACAACCAGUGGUAAUACAAGUUCCAGUAGCAGUGCCAGCAGUGCUCACAACUCACCCACUUCGACCAUCAUCAAAAUGGAACCACAGUUGACAGAGUCCUCCAUUCCAAUGGAAAGACCCAGUACCAGUGGCAAUGUAUUGCUCAGCCAACACUCCAUGCACGAUGAUCUAGACGAAAACUCGGCCAUGAGUGAUGAACUAAAUUCGUUGAAUGGCCAUCAGUAUGUUACAACUAGUUGUGUUAAGAAUACAAUUGUCUCAGCCACCGGCGAUGAUUCAUCCGAAUCAUCUAAUACUUCACAAGAACAAUUGCGACAAACUAGACAGAUCUUAUUAAACGGAGGCACACCGACACGAGCCAUUGUGAUUAAUAACUAUUUGCAUAAUAAUGAUAAUAAAGGUGUUGAUACACUACUGUCGCAGACAUCACAGCCGCAACAUCAUGCUCAAGUCAUACGUCAUAAUAAUAGCAGUAGUAGCAGUCAUAUAACGAGCAGCAGUAGUAGUGCAUUGCAGCAGCAAUUGAUGCGUAAAACUCCUAUAAUACAUUCGACUGGUGGUGUAACAUCAUUAACAAGUUCAGUAUUUGCCAGUGCCAUUCAACAUAGAGGCACAUCACCAUCUCCCUCACCCUCUUCUUCAUCGACAUCAUGUUCCUCUUCAGUUGUGGUCUCUAAAUCCGGACUACCCCUAUCAUUGGCCUCGGCUGCCCUGGGUUCCUCUUCGAUAAUACGCAGUACACGAGAUCAUGAUGCCAGUCUAAAUGGUCAUCACCAUCAUCAUCAACAAAAUCACCACAACAAUCACCAACGCAAUAACCACCGAAAUCACCACCGGCGUCGUCAUCUGGCCGAUAUGGAUGAUGACGAUGAUGAUACGAAUUUACAUCAUCCGAGUGUCAAUAACGGCCGUCACUUCGAUGACGACGAUGAUAUAUUAGAUGAGAAAUCUUCCCCGUCCCUGGCUACGACAGCCAUCAAAACCGAACCGAAUUUCUAUGUCUCUGGUGAUAUUUCGAAUGAGAUGUUGAUCAAAGAAGAGGUUGUAUUCGAUGACAAUUCCGCCAAUUCGCCCCACUCGCCACCUAGUUCGAAAUUUGGCAUGUCCAAUUUCGACAAUGAUCUCGACCAUCAUGUGGAUUUGUCGCAUUCGUUACCCACAUAUGGCUAUCUAUUGGAUCAACACUCUAUACCCGAUACAAUACCAGCUCAAUUGUAUGCCGACGAUGAUGAUUUUCGAUUAGAUCAUAAUUCGCUGGGAGCUUUACACAAUAAUUCCUCAUCGACCAACGAUGGUGAUUACAUUAAGAAAGAGUGGAGCUAUGGCACAAGUUCGAAUUAUACAAUAAAUGGUAAAUUUGAUGACGAUAGCAAUGCUUUAUGUGAUGCCGCCAAUUUCAUUUACAAUUGAUUGGAAGAUAUACCACCGUCACCGGUAUUAGUGGAUGGUUGAUAUCGUUACAACUACCGUAGCAGCAAAACCACCACCAGCAGCAACAGCAACAGCAUCAGCAGCCGUUGCAGCAGUUUUAAAACGAAAACAAGAUUUCUUUUAUUAGCGUUAAACAAAAAAUUAUGCAUGUGUUUUGUAACGAAACAUAUAAACAUGUAAAAAAAAAACAAAUGCCAACAAAUUUACUAAGUAUUGAAAACAAAACAAAACAAGCACAUUAUAUAAAUUAUAUAUAAUUUUAAUUAUUAAUCUUAAAACAAGGUUUUAAAACCACAAACAAAAGGACAGCAAAUCCAAAAGUUUUUUUUUUUUUGGUUUUGGUUUUUGUUAAAAGUUAAAAGAAUUUUCAAAUUUUAACUCCUCCUCGCAUAAAAUGAAACAGCAAAGAACAACAACAACAACAGCAACAACAACAAAUUAAACAAGUGAAUUUUUCUUUAUUAUAACGUAACCUAGAACUAGAAUUUAAAACAAACUUUUUCUGGGACUUUAAAUUGCUUUUAAUAGACA